rnacentral:rRNA from 1 species
CGAGGGCCAGCAUUUUUGUAGCAAUAGAAGAGAUGGCGACCGGCGCACGGGUGAGUAACACGUAUCCAACCUGCCGAUAACUCCGGGAUAGCCUUUCGAAAGAAAGAUUAAUACCGGAUAGUAUACGAAUAUCGCAUGAUAUUUUUAUUAAAGAAUUUCGGUUAUCGAUGGGGAUGCGUUCCAUUAGUUUGUUGGCGGGGUAACGGCCCACCAAGACUACGAUGGAUAGGGGUUCUGAGAGGAAGGUCCCCCACAUUGGAACUGAGACACGGUCCAAACUCCUACGGGAGGCAGCAGUGAGGAAUAUUGGUCAAUGGGCGAGAGUCUGAACCAGCCAAGUAGCGUGAAGGAUGAAGGCUCUAUGGGUCGUAAACUUCUUUUAUAUGGGAAUAAAGUAUUCCACGUGUGGAAUUUUGUAUGUACCAUAUGAAUAAGGAUCGGCUAACUCCGUGCCAGCAGCCGCGGUAAUACGGAGGAUCCGAGCGUUAUCCGGAUUUAUUGGGUUUAAAGGGAGCGUAGGUGGAUUGUUAAGUCAGUUGUGAAAGUUUGCGGCUCAACCGUAAAAUUGCAGUUGAAACUGGCAGUCUUGAGUACAGUAGAGGUGGGCGGAAUUCGUG